UAAAUCUAUCUCUCCAAGAGAAAAUUAAAUUAAAUAUCUGGAUGUUUUGCUUAAAGCUUUCAGUUUUCUUAACUGGUUAAGGACUUCCAUUAAAAUAGGUCAAGGGUUGCUGAUCUAUGACCUGUGAUCCAACUUUAGCCACUCAUAUUUUUUUUGUAAGUAUUUCAGGGAAGAGUGAUAUUUAUUUUUAAAUGAUGGGACAAAGUUAAAUAUUAAUAUUUCAUAACAUAAAAACUACCUGAACGCAAGUGUCAUGUCCAUGGGUGAAGUCACGUCUACUCAGUGCAACAUGACCCAGACUGGAGCCGUGGGACAGACAGCAGAUAGCCCAGAGCCACCCCAGACACAUCCCUGGCCGCCACAGACAGCAUCUGUGACCCUGAGAUGAAGUUCCUGGGCUUCUCCCUCUGCUGCAUCCUCCAUCCCCCUGGGAGAUCAGGACCUGUGUGUCGGCAGUGCCCUGCUGCUGCCCGCGUCCCAGGCCCCGCCGUGUCUCCGUCUGUCAUCCUGGACACCGCCGCACACCCUGGGGCGCCUCGUGCGUCCUGGACUCAGGACACCGAUGCCAACGCCGAUGCCCGGCUCACCCCCGUCUCCAGCCCACUUCUCUGGUUCUCUCAGAGGUGUGGCAACUCAGGGACUGGUGAAGCGGCCCCUGGACUUACAAGUUCCAUGAGAGACUUUCUCUCUUCUCCAGUCCAUCCUCCUGUGCACCUCAGGGAGCCCUGCACCCCUUUCUGGAAUCUGCAAAGCCUGGUCUCCUUAACUGGUCUCCAUGACUGGCCUCCUUCUUGUGGAAUUUGGACACUACUUCCAAACGAUAAUACACGCCGCCCAGCCCACAGUCUCCCACCAGCGGUUCACGCAGGCUCCUCGACCAUGAGGAGAAGGCAGCUUCCUCCGGCCUCUGAGCUCCCAGGCGCUUGGAAAAACCUCAGCCCCUCGGUGCAGUUUCAACAUCGCCUGAAUGUCUGACUUUGUUGGUGGCGACCCUCUUCCCGACCUGACUGAUAAACCUCUGUGAGCCGCCAUCCUCUCCAGACUCAAGCUAAUGGAAGCAACUGCAAGGACGACAGCCAGGACCUUUGAACCUGACCAGUGAGUGCCUGCUCAGGACCAGGCUGCAGGCUGGGCACGGGUCUGGCCCC
rnacentral:lncRNA from 1 species